rnacentral:rRNA from 1 species
ACUCCUACGGGAGGCAGCAGUGGGGAAUAUUGCACAAUGGGCGCAAGCCUGAUGCAGCCAUGCCGCGUGUGUGAAGAAGGCCUUCGGGUUGUAAAGCACUUUCAGUCGUGAGGAAGGUAGNGUAGGUUAAUAAGCUGCAUUAUUUGACGAUUAGCGACAGAAGAAGCACCGGCUAACUCCGUGCCAGCAGCCGCGGUAAUACGGAGGGUGCGAGCGUUAAUCGGAAUUACUGGGCGUAAAGCGCAUGCAGGUGGUUUGUUAAGUCAGAUGUGAAAGCCCGGGGCUCAACCUCGGAAUUGCAUUUGAAACUGGCAGACUAGAGUACUGUAGAGGGGGGGUAGAAUUUCAGGUGUAGCGGUGAAAUGCGUAGAGAUCUGAAGGAAUACCGGUGGCGAAGGCGGCCCCCCUGGACAGAUACUGACACUCAGAUGCG